rnacentral:lncRNA from 1 species
UAAAAAUUAAGUUUCUUAUGUGGAAUUGAAGAAAGUUAUUUGUUUUUAAUUGGUUUUGGAAGGUAACUUUCUUUUUUGUAUUGACUCCAGGUCUGAUAACACGGUUUCACACAAUGCCACAUUUUUUAGGAACUUAUCUACUAUGUUAUAUGAGGUUCUGUAUGGGACCAAUAAUGAUAUUUGUAUUAAUAUAGGACAAAUGAUGAUAUUGGUAUUAGUUAUACUCUUCCAAAUUAAAAAUAUAUACUGUAAUCUGCUUAAACAUUACAUAUCCACAUACUGUAAACAUUUGCUUGUUUAUAAGUUUAUCAUCAGGGCUCGAAAUAAUGGUCGCCAGCUUGCCAUUGACGACUAAGAAAUUGCAGCUGCUGAGUCUGAUGAGAU